GAAAUGCGAUACGUAAUGUGAAUUGCAGAAUUCAGUGAAUCAUCGAAUCUUUGAACGCAUAUUGCGCUCUCUGGUAUUCCGGAGAGCAUGCUUGUUUGAGUAUCAGUAAACACCUCAAGCCAAGAGAUAUUGUUAUUAAUAUCUCGAGACUUGGAAUUGAGUGAUCCUAACAAAGUCGUCUUUUUGACGAUUGAGGCAGGUCACUUGAAAUUCAGGUGCAGCUGAACUUUUCUUCUGAGCUAAAAGCAUUAUUUUAUUUAGUCUUUAUUGACUAUUACUUUUUGCUGCAGCUAACAUAAAGGAAGAAGAGCUUCUUGAAUGCUGACUGAUGCAGGAAUUUAUCAGUUUUGUAACAAAGACUGUUAGACUCGAUCUCAAAUCAAGUAAGACUACCCGCUGA
rnacentral:misc_RNA from 1 species